rnacentral:rRNA from 1 species
UAGCAAUAUCAUAGUGGCGCACGGGUGCGUAACACGUAUGCAACCUACCUUAUACUGAGGGAUAGCCUUUCGAAAGGGAGAUUAAUACCUCAUAACACAUUGAACUGGCAUCAGUUUAUUGCUAAAGAUUUAUUGGUAUAAGAUGGGCAUGCGUCCAAUUAGUUAGUUGGCGAGGUAACGGCUCACCAAGACGAUGAUUGGUAGGGGAACUGAGAGGUUAAUCCCCCACACUGGCACUGAGAUACGGGCCAGACUCCUACGGGAGGCAGCAGUAGGGAAUAUUGGGCAAUGGAGGCAACUCUGACCCAGCCAUGCCGCGUGCAGGAAGAAGGCGUUAUGCGUUGUAAACUGCUUUUAUAUAGGAAGAAAUAGACCUUGCGAGGUAAGUUGACGGUACUAUAUGAAUAAGCACCGGCUAACUCCGUGCCAGCAGCCGCGGUAAUACGGAGGGUGCAAGCGUUGUCCGGAUUUAUUGGGUUUAAAGGGUGCGUAGGCGGUUUAUUAAGUCAGUGGUGAAAGACGGUCGCUCAACGAUUGCAGUGCCAUUGAUACUGGUAGACUUGAGUGGGAUUGAGGUAGCUGGAAUGGAUGGUGUAGCGGNUGAAAUGCAUAGAUAUUAUCCAGAACACCAAUUGCGUANGCAAGUUACUAAGUCUCAACUGACGCUGA